GACGAACGCUGGCGGCGUGCUUAACACAUGCAAGUCGUACGGUAAGGCCCUUUCGGGGGUACACGAGUGGCGAACGGGUGAGUAACACGUGAGUAACCUGCCCACAACUUUGGGAUAACGCUAGGAAACUGGUGCUAAUACUGGAUAUGUGCUCCUGCUGCAUGGUGGGGGUUGGAAAGCUCCGGCGGUUGUGGAUGGACUCGCGGCCUAUAAGCUUGUUGGUGGGGUAGUGGCCUACCAAGGCGGCGACGGGUAGCCGGCCUGAGAGGGUGACCGGCCACAUUGGGACUGAGAUACGGCCCAGACUCCUACGGGAGGCAGCAGUGGGGAAUAUUGCACAAUGGGCGCAAGCCUGAUGCAGCAACGCCGCGUGCGGGAUGACGGCCUUCGGGUUGUAAACCGCUUUCAGCAGGGACGAAGCUUUUUGUGACGGUACCUGCAGAAGAAGCACCGGCUAACUACGUG
rnacentral:rRNA from 1 species